rnacentral:rRNA from 1 species
AGGAUGAACGCUGGCGGCGUGCCUAAUACAUGCAAGUCGAACGAGGUACUUUAGUAGCAAUACGAGAGUAUCCUAGUGGCGAACGGGUGAGUAACGCGUUGGUGACCUACCCCAAAGUGUGGGAUAACAGUCCGAAAGGAUUGCUAAUACCGCAUGUGGUCCUCAGGUUUAGAAACUGAUGACUAAAGGAGCAAUUCGCUUUGGGAGGGACCUGCGUCCCAUCAGCUAGUUGGUGAGGUAAUGGCUCACCAAGGCUACGAC